rnacentral:snoRNA from 1 species
UGCCUUUAUGUGUUGCCCGUUCAUUGUCUCCAGAGUGAAUGAGGUGUCAACCGAGGCAUGCAGAAACCUUGUAGUUUUUUUGGGGAAGGAGUGCUCACUGAUUGCUUUCAUUAACACACACUGCAAGAACACAC